UGGCUCAGUGGUCGAGUGCCCCUGAGUUCAAUCCCCAGUACCAAAAAAAAAAAAAAAAAGUCACAGAAAAUGUUUAUACAUAUGCUAAAAUACAUCUACUAUACUCAGGAGAUUUGGCUAACUUGAGAUGAGCUGGACUCCGAUGCUGGCCUCGAAGGCAGACCUGGCAUUGUGAGUCCUCUGUUGCUCUGAGCCUCUUUCCCAGAGGCCCUUUUCAAUAGAAACAGCACAAAAGACAGGGACUUGUCCCAGCUUGUCAGAACUACAGAGGACAGUGAACAAGGAGUUAUCAUUAUACCAAAAAUAAAAAUAAAAUAAUAAUAAUAAAAAAGGACAGAUCACACCCUAUCUCACUAACCUGGGCCACUAGAAAAGAAAGAGUGGGGCCUGUGUCAAGUCACCAGGACUGGGGUCAACCUCUACAUACUUUCUCCCCCAGCAGCCACCCACUUGUUUGCUUAUUCAGUCAUCUAUUCAGAAAAUACUGAUGCCUAUGAUGUUCUUGCCCUUUUCUAGGGUCUGGGAACAUGUGCAUGUGACGACCCUCAGUCUAGUGAAGCAGAGAGAUGGGGAACAGCAGGAGCGAUUGUGACAGAUGAUACACGAAGAACCCUCUGACAGCUUGUGGAAGCCCCAGUGGAAGCCAGCAGGCUGGAAGCGAGGGCUCAGGUUGGACUUGGACGGUGCCUUUGGUCUGGGCUGUGGAAAAGGAACCUGCUUGCUGGGGGAGGGAGAGGGCAGAACAUCUGAGACAAUGGGCUGAAGUGUGUGGCAUGGGGGUGGGGCACACACAUCUGGGUCUGAAACCCAACUCUUGGUUUUGUGGCCUUGAACAAGUCAUCCUUCCUCUCUGAGCCUAUUUCCUGUGGGUACUAAGAAGGAAGGUGAGUUUCACAGUCAAGAAAACAGGAUCCUAUGAGAGAUAAUGAGGCAGCACUGUAGUCACUCAUAGAUAUGAGUGGUCUUCAAGCAGAGGAAAGAGCACAGGGGCUGGGCGGGGGCCGCAGGUGGGCUGGGGAAAACCUAAGCAUCUGGUGGGAAGGAGGAAGGAGAGGUAGGAGUGGACAAAGAGUGGACAAAGGAGGCUGGUCCUCCCACAGCCUCUAUCUUUUCCCUCAAAGAAAGUGGAGCAGACAGAGGGGAGAGGAAGGAACAAACAAGGAAAUCUAUUUCCUUGACAUCCUUUACUUUCCUCUGAAAUGACAAAGGUUUACAUUUGGGGCUGACUUUAAUCUCUCCAUUCAAAAAAAGAAAAAGUAAAAACUAACAAAGUUUCUGUUUCAGCUGAUCUCCUCAAAACCCCUCCAGGGUACAGGGGCUUUCACAUCCUCCUAUGGUGGGAAGCUGUAGGUGGCUGGUUGGGGAGGGCACACCUGAAGUCUGGAGAAGGUGAGGAGAACUGACUCAAGCAAGCGAUCUCAGAGGUUCUGAGGCCAACCAAACCCAGUGGCCUCUCUGUUCACGCUUUCAAAAGUGGAUUCUUGGGCAGGGGAUUGAACUCAGGAACACUUCACCACUGAGGCUGGCUUUGAACUUGCAAUCCUCCUGAUUCCCUGGAAUUUUGAUAGAAAUUACAGAUCAAUUUGGGAAGAAAUGAUCUCUUUACUAUAUUUGUUAUUAAUAGGUAAUCUAAGCAGCUCUGACUAAGGCUCCAGUUAGUAGCAUCAGACAUAAGAUCUCAGCCUACUGCUCCUCUAAACCAUGUUGGAUCAUGUUGUUAGACAUGCUAAUAAAUCAGCCACCAUUCCUGCAGCACCAGACAUCAUUCUGGAUAAGAGGAAGGUAAAUUCAUUGCCUAUCAGGCACUUGAGGUGUCUCGGGCACUUCCUCCCCACUGAGCCUAGGUUUGAGGAGUAAAAUUUCCUGUGGCUUCACUGGGGCCUGUGAAUGGGCAGCAUGUAACAGUUCUAUCAAUCUCGCCAUUACGGCUCCCUCUCACAGUGAAUGGGUCAGGUUUGGGAACACAUCCAAAACUGGUCUAAAAGGACUUGAGUCCAGAAAUUCUGUGGGAACUUGAUGAUGCCCAUGUCGGAAGAUGAAAGAGACCUUUUCCCCUCAGGACAGGCCUGAGCAGCUGUAACAGAAGACCCAUCUUCGAAUUCAUUUAUAUUUUAUUUGUUGUGGUGCUGGGGAUCAAAUGCAGGGCAUGGCACAGGCUAGUCAAGCACUCUACAACUGCUGUCUAACCCUAGCCCACUACCUCAGAAUUUUAAGUUGGAGCCACUAACGAGAAUUUUCCCCUACCCCGCUCAAAUUAGGUAGAAGGAAUCCUGUCACUUGCCAACAGAAUCUCACCUAAUUCACAUUUGAGACAGGUGCCCAGGAAAAGUAAUCACUAAAUUGACUUGGCAGGCCACUCUUGAUGAGGUGCUGCUGACUACCCUAAAGUUCCACAGCAGAAAACAACCUGUUCUACACCCCCAGAUCAUCUUUGUCCCCCGCAUCCACGCCCUCAGCUUGACA